AUGAUCGAGAAAUAAUAUCAAAGUGAAAGUAUUGGGUCAGACCGUCUGACCCAAUAUGUUUCGUCGGACGAAGCAAUCUUUGCCAAUUUUUGCUUCGCAGUUGGAGAGAGAGAAAGAUAGAAACAGAGAUUAAGAGAGAGAGAGAAAGAUAGAAACAGAGACGAAGAGAGAUAGGAGAGAGAGGUAAAGAGAAACCCUUUUAUGACAUCUUAUUACUUUACCAUAUUAUGAUUCAGUAUCGUGCUUGACAAUAUUCUAUUGCAAUUUGCAAGUGGGAGAUGUUGAAUGCUUCGACGACAUACAGAUUGAAUUCCAGACGAGGCCAUUCCUAUUCUUCUCUAUUUUAUUGCAAUUUGCAAGUGGCACGGAGAUCGAGAUAUACAAUCUACAGCCCGUCAGAGCUUGCCGAACGCCGAAGCUUCCAUGAAACUAGUGUAGAUGAAGGCGAGGAGGUAGAGGAGAGAAAUAGAGGGAGACCAAAGAAGAGAGAAAAUAUAGAGAAAAGUGAAGCAGAGGUUGGCUGGUGAGAAGAGAAAAUAGAGACAAAGAGACGAAGGUAAAAAUUUGGCACACGUGAGUUAUUUUACACAUAAAUAUGGUGUAACAUUAUCCAAGACGCUUUCUACAAAAAAUUAUUGUUAAUCCAAUCCAUUCAGGACUUUCUAUAUCCUUGUAUAUCCCGAAAAUUUGCAUGGCAAUAACAAUGAAGUUCCUGUACUUACAUGUGAUAGUCAUAUUAUAGCAUAUUAUUAGUAGGCAGUACAGUGUUGUAUAACAGGCUAUUAAUGAAAAAGAUCACAAUACUUUCAGUUUGGACUAGUCCUUGGCUAUUAUAGCUUGCUCUUCGGAACUCCAACUGGUGUAUUUCUUGAUUUUUUCUCAACCACACGAGAAAGCUGUUUCACUGCAUCUUUCGGUAGAUGGCGUGGUCGGCUCAGCCAAAGACCACCAUCAACCGGAAGAAUUGUUCCGUUGAUGUAUUUACCUGCAAUUGCAAAAUUGACCCAAGUUAACAAUGUAAGGUGCCGCUGAAGAAAAUUGAUACCCAAAUAUUUCGUGGAAAAUGUGUCAGCACGAUUAAACAAUGAUGAGAGCCCACACCAUGCUCAAGUAAAACUUUCUACAAGAUUUGUGUUACUCAACAGUAUCAUUUUAUCAGAAACUAAACUGCAAGUCUGCAAGUAACAUACCGUACUUCAAUUACUCUCCUUAAAACGGAUGUCAACUUUACCAUAUACAGACAUCAGUAGUAGCCACUAUAUCUAAAGAUAGCAGAAAGCAAAAGAUAAGAAAUGAAAGAUAAUAAGCAUAUAAUUAGCAUCUAAGCAAAUUGACACUUCUUAAGGUAUUCAUUUAAACAUUGAGUGGAAUAAAAAGAAUAACAUAGCAACCACCCUCCAUAGAUAACAUAUUUGGCAACUGGUGUAGUGGACAUCUAGACUACAACCCCCUAAAUUGCAUGGAGUUUUGUCAUAGAGAAUGAGACGUUUGACAUGCACUAAACUUGAAAACACUUUAGGAUGGAACUUCUUGACAAAUUGAUGAUCUUUUCAGUCAGAACUCACUAAUGAAAAGAGAGAGAGACACAGAGAAUGAACUAUUAAUCCUCUAAGUAGAAUCUGUCACAUAAUUUGUUGACCAUCUUUAGCCAUACACAAGGGACCGCACUGCAAGGAACCAAGCUCGAAGAUUCCUCAUAACUUACUCUAGAAGGGGUAAGAAAGGAAUUACACACACUCCAGGGUGACUCAGCAUUCAGUACAACAGAGAAGGCCAGAGUAGUGGGGUAUAUUCCUAAAAGUGACCCUCACUAAUGAUUGACACUAACUUCUUGAAGGAGGAAUAGUGACAUGUACUGUGUAGGUCAGCAGCAACAGCUAUAAGUAUAAAUAAGAAGCAAGGCGGAGUAGAAAGGGCAUGAAAAAUAUCUUGCAAUAGCUUACUUAAUUGGAGAGACCUCACCUCUCGAAUCAACCUGGUAUCAGAGCAAGAUUGCUUAGAUCGGAGAAAUGGAGAGCAACUGACAAAGGUUAGACCAGCUACAACAAAGCGUGGCAGGAAUAAACACAACCCUCACUGAGAUGCUUAACAACCAGCGGGGCUUUGAAGAGAGAAUGGAGGGACGAGUAAAUCGGGAGAGAGAAAACCAGGUGAUGUUAGCACAACUACGGGACGAGCAAAGCAGGUUUCAGGAAGAGAUAAGGGCAGCCAUAAGGGUCACCUCAGCCACACCCUCUGUGCGACUACGGGGAAACCCUAGGAGGGCGAGAAAAUGAGAUGGCGUUUGAGACGCCACUAAACGGAGAAGAGGACAAAGAGUUGGGAUGGAACAACCAGGGCACGGCGAUGCUCGAAAACUGGAGAUUUAAGAAGUUAGAUCUACCUCUUUUCACUGGUGAAAACCCAGAUGGUUGGAUACUUCGAGCGAAGCGAUAUUUCAAAUUUCACCGCCUCACGGAGGAUGAAAGGAUGGAGGCUGCGGUGGUGGCUUUUGAAGGAGAAGCGCUUCUUUGGUUUCAGUGGGAGGCAACCGACGGACGAUCGCACGUUGAGAGGAGCUCAAGGCAAUGAUAUUGAGGCAAUUUAGGCCGACGUCCGCUGGAAGCCUCCAUGAGCAGUGGCUCAACCACCGACAGACUGGGGAAAUGGGUAGUCAAAUAUCGAAGGAAGUUUAUUGAACUUCUGGUCCCUUUGGGAAAUCUACUAGAGAAAGUGUUAAGAGGCCAAUUGGUUAAUGGACUUAAAGAGGAUGGACGGGUCAAGAUCCGCCUUUUAAUCCCAAGAACUCUUGACUUGGCAAUGGACCUGGCCAUAAGGGCCGAAGAUAAGAUAAAAUGCUUCCCUUUCCACAAAAACACCUAGCCAAACCCAAAUAUGACCAGAACCCACAACAAUACCCAAACCCGUUUUUCACCCACCAACUUUCAUGCUGGAUGCACCUCAUAUGUAGCCCAACCCACAAAAACAACCCAAUCCUACAAUUCCAACCCAUAGAGGAGCACUCAAACACGAUCCACCCUUGGAGUGAGGUGAUUGUCGGAGCAAGAAAUGCAAUAUAGGAGGGAAAAGGGGCCAUGCUUUAGGUGCGACGACAAAUGGACUGUGGAACAUUGGUACCGAAGAGGCGAGUUAGGGGUGAUUAUCACGGCUGACCACUCACGGGAAGAAGAGAUUGAGCUGGAAGGAGAGAAGAGUCAUGAGGAACCCGUGGGUGAGCUGCAUGGAUCCACCGGAAAUAUCCCUGAACUCGGCGUUGAGAAUAGAUAAACGGUGAAGAUGAAAGGAGAAAUCCAAGGCUAAGAUGUGGUGGUUAUGGUCGAUCUUGGGGCAACACACAACUUUAUUUCCAGCAAGAUUAUGCAGAAGCUUGCGUUAGUCAUCACCCCUACCAAGGAGUUCAGUGUCACCUUAGGCACCGAGGAAGUUGUGCAAGGUCGAGGUAAGUGCCAAUCCAUUCUUUUACACCUACAAGGCAUUGAGAUAAUCGAGGAUUCCUACCAUUAGACCUCGGAAAUUCCGAUCUUAUUCAGGGAAUUCAAUUGUUGUCCAUACUAGGGACUAUGACCAAUAACUGGAGACCACAAGUCCUUAAAUUCAAUAUAGGCCACGAAAGUGAAUUUUGAAGGGAAUCUCUCUUUGGGAAAAACGUUGAUCUCAUUGAAGGCCAUGGAGACCACCACUAGUAAGGAAGAAGGGGGGGUACCUAAUGGAGCUAAACAGAUUGGAAGGAAGGGGAAAACCACCUUGAUAGAAGAGUUUUGAGGAUUUAGCUUCCACUUAUCAAGCUUUCAAGAUCCAAUUUUUGGGGCUUUUGUAUAGCUGGACUCAAGUUUAAGAUAAAUUGCUCGAUUUCUCUUGAUUCUGUAGAUAAAUUGCUCUACAGUAGCUUGAGUCUUUUCUCCUAGCCCUCCUUUUUCUAUAUGGGUGACACCCCCUUGGUGUCUUUCCGUCUUUCUAAUAUGAUUCUUUACUUUUCCAGGAAAAUAAGAAGCUAGUGCAAGAAGUGACCAGCUGAUCCUAACAGUCUCUCAAUGUCUCUUUACAGUUUACAAGUUAAUGCAGCGUGGAACAAAAAGUAUCUAUCACAGGGAACUAAACUACUACAGUCAAAGAACCACAUCUGGAAACAGAGUGGGACAAGCUUUCAGCCAGAGGGUUUCUACUUAUAAAGUUCAGAGUGUAUCAGCGAUUCCGAUUUUGUAAUCAUACAAAUGCGAUAUUAAGUUCUAGAAAAAAUUCAGGACCAAAUUUA